UAAAACCGAACGUCGACCUCUGCCUGAGAUCAGUUUCAUGAAGAAGGAUGAAAMGGGGAGGGCGUUCAAUACCAACUGCUAUCAAAGAGGUGAUGACAGCUCCRCUCCACUACCAUUGUCAACUCUCUCCUGCCAUGAACUGAAUCCACGCCUCAUGUGCCUGAUCAUUCACUGGCACAUUUUAUGUUUCCUCUCUAAGCACUUCAAAUCCUGCAUUGAAGUCAAGCCUCUGAACACC